AAACUUCGGCGCGUUUUAAUUAGAGCUUGCGGCUAAAUUUGCCCGGCGGCUACUUCGCAAACUUUACCCGCGUGAAAUCCGCCAGGAAUGCUUACUAUACACGCGUGUUGAGUGCCAUGGAAGGAGAAAAGAAACGAUGACGCCGCUAAUUUGAGCACCGGCAUCGACUGAUACUCAAGGGGUGUACGAGCAAGAAAAAUGAUUUCAUUAAAGUUAAACAUCGGCUUUUGCGACUCUAUCUCUGCCACCGUCCAGACUAUAACAUUCGCUACCACCGGAAACUUUCAAAGUUACGAUGAAUGCACAGCAACAACGUCAUCGUUGAAUACCGUGUGAUUAUUUCAUCGAGAUGCUCCAGCUUGUGUCAGCGACAUGGUACCGAGAUAUUUAUCGAUUUUAAAGCAACCUCGAUAAUCGAAUUCAAGAGAAGGGAUGAGCUCGUUAGAAUUUCGAAUUAGUACGUGAUAACAAAUCGAAGUCCAUUCGAACUACGAUCAAAAAUAUAAAAAUUGGUAAACGUAAAGUUAUUGGUAUGGUACGAACCUUUUUACUUCUCGCCUUAGGAUUCAUUUUAAAGUAACGCAUAUAUAUAUAUGUGUGUGUAUAUAUGUUUAACGUUGGUACAUUCAAGUAAAAAAAAUGUUAUCUUUUAUUGGUAGAUAAUAAAUUGUCUUUUGCCAGAAGGUUGGGUAAUUAUAAAAAAUUAAUUGCUAUUACUUGAUUAAAUUUAUAGUUCGAAUUUUGGGGUCGAUGAUAAAUCGAAGUUGUGGGAAAGAGCGUUUCCGAAUUCCGUUUAGGGACAGAGUGGAUAGCGGUGGUCGGUUAAUUAUUUUUGCUCCCCUAGUUUGCUAAUAUGUUGUUCGGAAUUAAUUAUGAUGAAUACGAUAAAUUUAGGGCGAGUUUUAUGUAAUUUAGUGGUAAUUAGCAAGUUUUCGAUGGCUGAAAGUAAUACUUGGUAAUGAAGAUAUUUUGGCAAAAUGCAAAUGCCCGCGUGUCUUUAAAUUCGAAACUAAAUGUUAAAAUUAUUAGCUUUUAAUUGAAAGUUACCGAUUGCUUGUUUACCACGUUACUCUUGUAUUUUUUUUAAUAAUUAAGCGUUUUCUCGAAAUGACGAAUUUAAUUAAUACACAUGCAUAACCGAAUAUCCUG
rnacentral:misc_RNA from 1 species